AGCAGCCGCGGUAAUUCCAGCUCCAAUAGCGUAUAUUAAAGUUGUUGCAGUUAAAAAGCUCGUAGUUGAAUUUCGGGAUCAAUUUGCUGGUCGUGCCUCUGGUACGUACUGGUAUUAUUGGUUUCUCCCUUCUGACGAACCAUGAUGUCAUUAAUUUGAUGUCGUGGAGAAUCAGGACUGUUACUUUGAAAAAUUAGAGUGUUUAAAGCAGGCAUUAGCUUGAAUACAUUAGCAUGGAAUAAUGAAAUAGGACGUUUGAUCCUAUUUUGUUGGUUUCUAGGAUUGACGUAAUGAUUAAUAGGGAUAGUUGGGGGCAUUAGUAUUCAAUUGUCAGAGGUGAAAUUCUUGGAUUUAUUGAAGACUAACUACUGCGAAAGCAUUUGCCAAGGAUGUUUUCAUUAAUCAAGAACGAAAGUUAGGGGAUCGAAGACGAUCAGAUACCGUCGUAGUCUUAACCAUAAACUAUGCCGACUAGGGAUCGGAUGAUGUUAAUUUUUA
rnacentral:misc_RNA from 1 species